rnacentral:lncRNA from 1 species
CCAACUCUUGUAAGGAUCCAAUCACAUCCAGAUCCUCCUCCAGCCGUGGACAAUCCCUAAUGGUCAGUUCUACCAAAGAGGGGCAUACUACUACUGUUUGGACUAACUCAGUGAGGUCAGGGCAUCCUCCAAUGUCUGGCUCCUUCAGCUUCUCCAGACGUAGUCUCCUCAACGACGUGCAACCCUCUAAAAUCAACUUCCUUAAAGACUUCAACUCUGCAAGCCCUUCAAUCUCCCGCAAACUCGGCACCUUCACUCUGAGUGUAAAUAACUUUUGCAGCUUUGACAAGAAAGAUAUCCUCUCUAUGCUGGAAGAAGAUGUAUCAUCUAACUUUAACUCCAAACUAACCAACUCUUCUAGGGAUCCAAUCACAUCCAGAUCCUCCUCCUUAGUGAUAUUUACCAUCGACAGAUUCAAAUCCUUUACCAAUGGGAACUUUAGAAGAGAUUGUAUCAUCGGACCAACCUCCAGCCGUGGACAAUCCCUAAUGGUCAGUUCUACCAAAGAGGGGCAUACUACUACUGUUUGGACUAACUCAGUGAGGUCAGGGCAUCCUCCAAUGUCUGGCUCCUUCAGCUUCUCCAGACGUAGUCUCCUCAACGACGUGCAACCCUCUAAAAUCAACUUCCUUAAAGACUUCAACUCUGCAAGCCCUUCAAACUCCAGCAAACUCGGCACCUUCACUCUGAGUG